CAUGUUUGGUGAUGAGGCCCUGGAGUUAGCACUGUGCACAGCACUCAAGUCUGACUGCAGAGACAUAACUUG
ensembl:snoRNA